rnacentral:rRNA from 1 species
GACGAACGCUGGCGGCGUGCCUAACACAUGCAAGUCGAGCGAGGUCGCCCGGUCUUCGGACCGGUCACGAUCGAGCGGCGAACGGGUGCGUAACACGUGAGAAACCUACCUUGGAGACCGGAAUAACCCGAGGAAACUCGAGCUAAUACCGGAUGUCCUCGUCGGACCGCAUGGUCUGACGUGGAAAUGGUCCGCCGCUCCAAGAGGGUCUCGCGGCCUAUCAGGUAGUUGGUGAGGUAACGGCUCACCAAGCCAUAGACGGGUAGCUGGUCUGAGAGGACGAUCAGCCACACUGGGACUGAGACACGGCCCAGACUCCUACGGGAGGCAGCAGUGGGGAAUCUUGCGCAAUGGGCGAAAGCCUGACGCAGCAACGCCGCGUGGGGGAUGACGGCUCUCGGGUUGUAAACCCCUUUCAGCAGGGACGAAAAUGACGGUACCUGCAGAAGAAGCUCCGGCCAACUACGUG